rnacentral:rRNA from 1 species
AAACAUGGCUCCUCGAUCAAUUAAUAAUGAGGAGUCGGACCUGCCCAGUGAAUUUUUUAACGGCCGCGGUACUCUGACCGUGCAAAGGUAGCAUAAUCAUUUGCCUUAUAAUUGAAGGCUAGUAUGAAUGGUUUGACAAGAAUGUAGCUGUCUCUUUAUAAUUCUAUAGAAUUUUAUUUUCAGGUGAAGAAGCCUGUAUUUAAUUAAAAGACAAGAAGACCCUAUCGAGCUUUAAAAAAGUUAGUAGAAUUAAAAUUAAUAUUAAUAAAAGAUUGUCUACUAGAAAUUUUAGUUGGGGCGACUAAGGAACAUAAAAAGCUUCCUUUAAAAGAAGUUAAAUCAAACCGGAAUUGAUCCAAAACAUUUUGAUUAAAGGAAUUAGUUACCGUAGGGAUAACAGCAUUAUCUUUUUUAAGAGCUCAUAUCGAAAAAAAGGUUUGUGACCUCGAUGUUGGACCAGAAUAUCCUAAAGGUGCAGCAGCCUUUAAGGGUUGGUCUGUUCGACCAUUAAAAUUCUACGUGA